GCCUCAGUGGUGUAAAGGUCGAGCACGCGUCCCCGGAUAGGAUGAAACGUGGGUUCGAUUCCCGCCUGAGGCC